UGGAGGAAAGCAGGGGAUCGUAAGACCUUGCGCUUUUGGAGCGGCCGAUGUCUGAUUAGCUAGUUGGUGGGGUAAUGGCCUACCAAAGCUUCGAUCAGUAGCUGGUCUGAGAGGACGGCCAGCCACACUGGGACUGAGACACGGCCCAGACUCCUACGGGAGGCAGCAGUGGGGAAUUUUGGACAAUGGGCGCAAGCCUGAUCCAGCCACGCCGCGUGAGUGAAGAAGGCCUUCGGGUUGUAAAGCUCUUUCAGCCGGGAAGAAAAGGCUGCGACUAAUAAUCGCAGUUCAUGACGGUACCGGAAGAAGAAGCACCGGCUAACUACGUGCCAGCAGCCGCGGUAAUACGUAGGGUGCGAGCGUUAAUCGGAAUUACUGGGCGUAAAGGGUGCGCAGGCGGUUUUGUAAGUCAGAUGUGAAAUCCCCGGGCUUA
rnacentral:rRNA from 1 species